GGACGAACGCUGGCGGCGUGCCUAAUACAUGCAAGUCGAACGAGCUCUCCUAAAUUGAUUUUAUGCUUGCAUAAAUGAUUUUUAGAUUCGGAGCGAGUGGCGAACUGGUGAGUAACACGUGGGUAACCUGCCCCGAAGCGGGGGAUAACAUUUGGAAACAAAUGCUAAUACCGCAUAAUUAGUUGGAACCGCAUGGUUCCAACUUGAAAGAUGGCUCUGCUAUCACUUUGGGAUGGACCCGCGCCGUAUUAGUUAGUUGGUGAGAUAAAAGCCCACCAAGACGAUGAUACGUAGCCGACCUGAGAGGGUAAUCGGCCACAUUGGGACUGAGACACGGCCCAGACUCCUACGGGAGGCAGCAGUAGGGAAUCUUCCACAAUGGACGAAAGUCUGAUGGAGCAACGCCGCGUGAGUGAUGAAGGUUUUCGGAUCGUAAAACUCUGUUGUUAAAGAAGAACAAGUGUUAGAGUAACUGUUAACACUUUGACGGUAUUUAACCAGAAAGCCACGGCUAACUACGUGCCAGCAGCCGCGGUAAUACGUAGGUGGCAAGCGUUGUCCGGAUUUAUUGGGCGUAAAGCGAGCGCAGGCGGUUUUGUAAGUCUGCUGUGAAAGCCCUCAGCUCAACUGAGGAAAGUGCAGUGGAAACUACAAAACUUGAGUACAGAAGAGGAAAGUGGAACUCCAUGUGUAGCGGUGAAAUGCGUAGAUAUAUGGAAGAACACCAGUGGCGAAGGCGGCUUUCUGGUCUGUUACUGACGCUGAGGCUCGAAAGCAUGGGUAGCGAACAGGAUUAGAUACCCUGGUAGUCCAUGCCGUAAACGAUGAAUACUAGGUGUUGGAGGGUUUCCGCCCUUCAGUGCCGCAGCUAACGCAUUAAGUAUUCCGCCUGGGGAGUACGACCGCAAGGUUGAAACUCAAAGGAAUUGACGGGGGCCCGCACAAGUGGUGGAGCAUGUGGUUUAAUUCGAUGCUACGCGAAGAACCUUACCAGCUCUUGACAUCUUCUGCCAACCCAAGAGAUUGGGCGUUCCCUUCGGGGACAGAAUGACAGGUGGUGCAUGGUUGUCGUCAGCUCGUGUCGUGAGAUGUUGGGUUAAGUCCCGCAACGAGCGCAACCCUUAUUAUUAGUUGCCAGCAUUUAGUUGGGCACUCUAGUGAGACUGCCGGUGAUAAACCGGAGGAAGGUGGGGACGACGUCAAAUCAUCAUGCCCCUUAUGAGCUGGGCUACACACGUGCUACAAUGGAUGGUACAACGAGUCGCGAAACCGCGAGGUCAAGCUAAUCUCUUAAAGCCAUUCUCAGUUCGGAUUGCAGGCUGCAACUCGCCUGCAUGAAGUUGGAAUCACUAGUAAUCGUGGAUCAGCAUGCCACGGUGAAUACGUUCCCGGGCCUUGUAC
rnacentral:rRNA from 1 species